rnacentral:rRNA from 1 species
UACGAAGGGGGCUAGCGUUGCUCGGAAUCACUGGGCGUAAAGGGUGCGUAGGCGGGUCUUUAAGCCCGGGGUGAAAUCCUGGAGCUCAACUCCAGAACUGCCUUUGAUACUGAAGAUCUUGAGUUCGGGAGAGGUGAGUGGAACUGCGAGUGUAGAGGUGAAAUUCGUAGAUAUUCGCAAGAACACCAGUGGCGAAGGCGGCUCACUGGCCCGAUACUGACGCUGAGGCACGAAAGCGUGGGGAGCAAACAGG